rnacentral:rRNA from 1 species
AUAUCAGUCAUGCAUAGCAUAUCAAUAAGCGGAGGAAAAGAAACUAACAAGGAUUCCCCUAGUAACGGCGAGUGAAGCGGGAAGAGCUCAAAUUUGAAAUCUUAAAGGGUUUCCCUUUACGAAUUGUAGUUUAAAGAAGUGUUUUCUGUUGAGGUUUUGGUAAAAGUUCUUUGGAAUAGGACAUCAUAGAGGGUGAGAAUCCCGUAUUUGACCUUUACUUUCAACUUUGUGAUACACUUUCAAAGAGUCGGAUUGUUUGGGAAUGCAGUCCAAAAUGGGUGGUAAAUUUCAUCUAAAGCUAAAUAUUGGCGAGAGACCGAUAGCGAACAAGUACCGUGAGGGAAAGAUGAAAAGAACUUUGAAAAGAGAGUUAAACAGUACGUGAAAUUGUCAAAAGGGAAGCGUUUGACACCAGUGUUGUUUUUCUGAAAAUCAAUUAAAGAACUGUUUAUGCUAAGUUGUUUAGACUUUAUCAGCUAAUCUGCUUAGUUUUGAGCUUUUCUUUAAUGCACUUUUCAGUUAACAAGUCAACAUCAAUUUCUUUUGCUGUAAAAAAGCUUGAGGAAGGUGGCUUGAGAUUCGUCUUAAGUGUUUAUAGCCUCUUGCCUAUGCAGUCGGAGAGAUUGAGGUCUGCAGCGUAGAUCCUUCGGGGCUAAAUGCAUUUGUGCUAAGUUAUAGCAUUUUAUAGACAACUUGUUGACUAUGAUUUGUCUUGUAGCUUACUCGCUUAUGUUAUUUUACCUACGCUUAGGAUGUUGACGCGCGUGUGUGCGUG